UGCCACAGCCAUGUCACUCUGCAGCCCAAGACCAGUUACUCACUGAAGCUAAGCAGGGCUGAGCCUGGUCAGUACCUGGAUGGGAGACCACUAGGGAACACUAGGUUGCUGUUGGAA
rnacentral:rRNA from 1 species